UGGAAGCCUGCAAUGCGGACUUUUCUGUCCAACUACAAAACAUCACCCAAACCCAUGAAGAAGAAGGAAGAAAAAGGUCUGUGAGAGGAUGGCCUGAAGCCCUGGGGAUUUCAGCACUUAACAUUUUUGCUGACCCCUGACUUCAUUCAGUCCGUGAUCGAGACUUUUCUGGCAGUGCCAUCCAGUGGGAUCUACAGUGACUUCAGUUUUAGGCAGGUGUUGAUGUUGAAGGUGGCACCAGCUGCUCCUCUCCCUUAAUUGACACUGAGCUGAAGUCGGACUUGAAGAGUUGGCUGAGGUUGUUUGUUUGUGAUGAAUGUUUUCCUCAAUCCAACUGCUCACACAUGCUGGGGACAGCUGGUGUUUCCCACCUGAAA